GUCCAUGUCCAUACCACCCUGAACGCACCCAAUCUUGUCUUAUUCCGGAAGCUAAGCAGGGUCGGGCCUGGUUAGUACUUGGAUGGAAGGGUUUCACAUAUGAACUGAUGCCAAAUGAUAGAUCUGUGACAAAGAUU
rnacentral:rRNA from 1 species